rnacentral:lncRNA from 1 species
CAGCAAUAACCCAAUAACUUGACAAACUAUCAACCACCGUCGUCCAUUGCAUCAGGCUGGUGGGGACGCUUUUAUAUCGCGCACGCGUUUGAUUAAUCUCUGCGUCGUAAUAUGAUCAUCCUACACCCGCGUUUCCCACUACAGUUCCAAUUCUUUUUUUUUCAAUUAGAAAUUAACAGAAGGAAGGGGUUGACGGAUGGAAUAACAGACAUGUUUUCAUUGGAACGUAGGCAGUUUGUAUUUAUCUGGAUCAUUUUGCAAGUAUAUUUUCAAAAGAACGUAACGUGUUACAAGGAAAUACAUUAUAUUAUAGUUUCGUUACACAUAAGUAUACUGUUUUUCAGUUUUAGGUAUGUAGAAAUCAAUCUUACGAGUAUUUAUGUUAAAUAUUAUAGGAACAGAAAUAAUCACUCUGAAACUCAUCGUACUACUAAUAAAUGUAAGUAUUCAGUGAGAUUCUGGUGAAACCGCACAGUUCUGAAUUCGUCGAUACUACAACGAUUCUAAUCUAAUUUGCAGAAAAAUCAACCUCAAGGCUUUUGGGAAAAAAACUUUUCAACUCACCGACAAUGGAUACAAAAACGUAAUCGCUAUAUCCUCGCCUCGAUCCGACUGAGCGAUGCAGGUCAAUUCACCCAUAUCGCUCCAAAGUAGAGGGAAGAUCACAAGCUCUCCACUUCCCAGUACCUGAACAAACCCUUUGACGUACCUGGCGAAGUGGCUCUGCACCUCUCAGCCAGUGGAUUUGAGGCAUGGGACUUCCUAUAGCUUCGCACUCCAAUUCGAUGUGAGAUCUAUGUUUGUCUGGUUUGGGCAACACUCGCAGGUGGCGCUACCAUUACAUCGCGAUCGAUUUCAUUUUCCUCGAUCGCCGCUUCUUCGUCCG